CUUCAGGUGGAGUCUGUUAGUUUUUGAGAAAGAGUUAGGGCGAGUUUAAGGCACUGUGGCAGCUGUGAGAUAAAGUCUGGUUCCUCCCCAGCUGGCUCAGGAAAUGUUCGCGGAUACAACGGCGGCCCCCUCUGGGCAUACCUGCCUGUGGAGCGGAGAGUGGACGGUGUGAGGGGGACCGGGAGAGGCACCAAAUCUGGCCUGGGGGCCCGAGAAGCUUCCUCUCAGUGACCACAAUAUGAAUGGGAACAGCAAGAUGGCAAAAGCUUGCUGAGUGGUACAGCGCCAGCCUGGGUAGUGGCCUCCCCAGCAAGUUGCAUGUCACUAGCUUCCUGUGGCUGUCACUCCUGGGCCCAGGCACCUCCGAAGAUCAGCACCUCCUCAUGGGCUCAAGCGAGGACAGGAGCCCGUCACCCAUGAGCUCUCAAGGGCAGAGCCACUGUCCUGUCUCGAUGGCUCCACCGUGACUCCAGUGGACUUUGGACAGUGGGGAGCAGGCCCAACAGGGCCACUCGGAUGUGGUCACUCUGGAUUUGGGUGGAUCAGCACCAAGCUAGACUCAUCCCCAGCCCCCAGGUGCUGUUGCUGCUCCUGCGUGAGGCCCCAUCCACAGCUGCAGCUGUGGCAGGGUGGCUAGUGGUGGCCAGCAUGGCCCUGCUGCAGCUCCACGCUGUGGGGGGCGUGGCCCUGACCAGCAGCCACCCCUCCAUGUGGGCCACAGGGGAGGAGCUUAGGAAGCCGCCUUGGCAAGGUUCCGCAGGCUCUGCGUCUGGUGUGGAAGAGCUCACGGGGAAGCACUCCUGCCCAGGACCCGAGGAGCCGGCCACCGUUCAGAAGGCCCCAGCUUGAAGGCCUGGAGAGCCGCCCAGCAGCACAACACAGGGAAGCUUGGGGAGGUGAGCCCCACUUCCUGCUCCCGCACAGGCUCUUCUCCCUGGGGCACUGGCUGGGCGGG
rnacentral:lncRNA from 1 species